UUUUCCUACGGGGCGCAGCAGUGGGGAAUAUUGGGCAAUGGGCGAAAGCCUGACCCAGCGACGCCGCGUGAGGGAAGAAGGUCUUCGGAUUGUAAACCUCUUUCAGCAGGGAAGAAGAAAGUGACGGUACCUGCAGAAGAAGUCACGGCUAACUACGUGCCAGCAGCCGCGGUAAUACGUAGGUGGCGAGCGUUAUCCGGAAUUACUGGGUGUAAAGGGUGUGUAGGCGGGAGUGCAAGUCAGACGUGAAAACUAUGGGCUCAACCCAUAACGUGCGUUUGAAACUGUGCUUCUUGAGAGUGGGG
rnacentral:rRNA from 1 species